rnacentral:rRNA from 1 species
UGUGUAGGCGGUCCCCUAAGUUUGGUGUGAAAUCUCCCGGCUCAACUGGGAGGGCGCGCCGAAAACUGGAGGGCUUGGAGUGCGGGAUGGGAGAGUGGAAUUCCUGGUGUAGCGGUGAAAUGCGUAGAUAUCAGGAGGAACACCGGUGGUGUAGACGGCUCUCUGGACCGUAACUGACGCUGAGACACGAAAGCGUGGGUAGCAAACAGGAUUAGAUACCCUGGUAGUCCACGCCCUAAACGAUGCGCAUUUGGUAUGGGUCAUUCAGUUGAUCCGUGCCGGAGCUAACGCGUUAAAUGCGCCGCCUGGGGAGUACGGUCGCAAGGCUGAA